ACUGGGGAAACUGGCUUUCGAGCAGCUUGUGAAAGGCAACCUGAUCUUCUAUGAGGAAGACCUGCGAGAGUGUGGCAUUGAUGAGACAGAAGCAGCAGUGUACUCAGGAUUGUGCACUCAGAUCUUCAGAGAGGAGUUUGGGCUGUAAGUGGG